rnacentral:rRNA from 1 species
GAUGAACGCUGGCGGCGUGCCUAAUACAUGCAAGUCGAGCGAACGGACGAGAAGAUUGCUUUUCUGAUGUUAGCGGCGGACGGGUGAGUAACACGUGGAUAACCUUCCUAUAAGACUGGGAUAACUUCGGGAAACCGGAGCUAAUACCGGCUAAUAUUUUGAACCGCAUGGUUCAAAAGUGAAAGAGGGUCUUGCUGUCACUUAUAGAUGGAUCCGCGCUGCAUUAGCUAGGUGGUAAGGUAACGGCUUACCAAGGCAACGAUGCAUAGCCGACCUGAGAGGGUGAUCGGCCACACUGGAACUGAGACACGGUCCAGACUCCUACGGGAGGCAGCAGUAGGGAAUCUUCCGCAAUGGGCGAAAGCCUGACGGAGCAACGCCGCGUGAGUGAUGAAGGUCUUCGGAUCGUAAAACUCUGUUAUUAGGGAAGAACAUAUGUGUAAGUAACUGUGCACAUCUUGACGGUACCUAAUCAGAAAGCCACGGCUAACUACGUG